GCUGAGAAAGAGGAAGGGAGACUUUGGCUACUCCCAGUGCACAACUGAAAGCCUGUUCUAUGUCAGAGCAACAAGGCCUUCCUUCCACUGACCUGUCUUGUCUCUCCUUUUCUGGCUAAUCUCUGGACACUUACCCUACACAUCUGGGUUUUCCAUCUGCCACAAAGUGUCCAUUAGUGCUAGAUCCUCAAAAAGGCUCUAUCUACCCAAAGUCUUCCUUCUCUCAACUCUUUUUCAGGGCUCUGUAUUGAAAAUACGGUGAACUUGUGACAAGCCUCUGAACAAGUCCAGACUUCAAGUGACCACUGGGAUUGAAGAAGAGCCUCUAGUAAGGUGUUAACCAUUAGCAGAAAGACUCAAUGGUAGCAGCUAAAACCUUCAUGUGCUGGGCUGUCUGGUGCUGAGAAACCUUGAAGUUUUCCACGUUCUCCUUUUCCUGGAUGACAGAAACUAAUUGUUAAAGUAGAGGGUAUCCUGGACUACAUAAAAUUCAGCACAAAAUGGUGAGGUCUGGUAUAUAUACCACGUGCACAGUUCUUUCUCCUUAAAGAAACGAAAACAAGUUCCUUGGAGAAAGUGUGGCCCGCCAGAGGUCAGAAGACAACACAACCAUGAAGGCACUUGAGGAGUUUCCUCCAGAGGUGCCUCAAGCCCGAGAACCAAGAGGCAGAAAGGACCCCAAGUCAUCAGAGUUCAACGGGUAUGGAGGAGACUUUUUCCUCUGACAACCUGGAGUCACCAACAGCUCACAGUACUCCGGGACCCGUGGGGGCGCUCGCUGUGUGACCCUGGGCAAGUGUGCACACCUCUCUGAGCCUCCGUGGCCUCCUAGCAAAACGCAGGAGCUGGUGCUUUGGCCGGAAAGCAAACUGGAAGCCGCGUAGGGUAGCGCUUGAAGACUCUAGAUUCCUCACGGUGCCACGGAGUAACGUCUGUUAAACUGGAGAUCGUCGUAGUACGACCUUCUAGGGUUGUUAGGGAGAUUAAGUGAGUCAACAUUUACCAAGUAUUUACAGCUGUCUCUUACGUGGGAAGCGGCAUUAAGUAGUAUUUUAGAGCGACUGCGGGAGGUCCCGCUCUGUGAUGGAGUUCUCCCUUCCCUCUUCCUACCCUCCACAUUCCUGUUCCCCGGUGAAGCGCCUCCCUGCUUUUGCCCUAGCUGGGCC